GACGAACGCUGGCGGCGUGCCUAACACAUGCAAGUCGAACGGAAAGGCCCUGCUUUUGUGGGGUGCUCGAGUGGCGAACGUGUGAGUAACAUGUGAGUAACCUGCCCUUGACUUUGGGAUAACUUCAGGAAACUGGGGCUAAUACCUGAUAGGAGCUCCUGCUGCAUGGUGGGGGUUGGAAAUUUUCGGCGGUUGGGGAUAGAUUCGCGGGUUAUGAGCUUGUUGGUGGGGUAGUGGCUUACCAAGGCUUUGACGGGUAGUCGACCUGAGAGGGUGACCGCCCACAUUGGGACUGAGAUACGGCCCAGACUGCUACGGGAGGCAGCAGGGGGGAGUAUUGCACAAUGAGCGGGAGCCUGAUGCAGAAGCGCCGCGGGCGUGAUGACGGCCUUCGGGUUGUAAACCGCUUUCGCCUGUGACGAAGCGUGAGUGACGGUAAUGGAUGAAGAAGCACCGGCUAACUACGUG
rnacentral:rRNA from 1 species